GGGUGCGUAACUCAAGUGGCAGAGUAUCGGCCUUUUAAGCCGAGAGUUGUGGGUUCGAGUCCCGCCGCACCCA
rnacentral:tRNA from 1 species